rnacentral:misc_RNA from 1 species
GUGAGCUGAUUGCAAGCUCGCAAGUCGGACCUGGGUCUUCUGACGCCCACCGUCGGUAUCGGGUAUUCGUUCACGCCUCGAAUCGCUCCCCGAUCGGCGUGACCUCUGGUAUAUCGCCGCUGGUAAUGACGGCUCGGCUGAGCGGGACGACCGAAUCGAUCAACUGUUGUAGG